UACGUAGGGACCCAGCGUUGUUCGGAUUUACUGGGCGUAAAGGGCGCGUAGGCGGCAAUUCAAGUCAGCUGUGAAAUCUCCGGGCUUAACUCGGAAAGGUCAACUGAUACUGUGCGACUAGAGUGCAGAAGGGGCAACUGGAAUUCUCGGUGUAGUGGUGAAAUGCGUAGAUAUCGAGAGGAACACCUGCGGCGAAGGCGGGUUGCUGGGCUGACACUGACGCUGAUGCGCGAAAGCCAGGGGAGCGAACGGG
rnacentral:rRNA from 1 species